GACAGAGGUGGAAGUGUGGUAACACAUGUAGCUGACUGUUACUAAUAGGUCGAGGGCUUGACCUAA
rnacentral:rRNA from 1 species